rnacentral:misc_RNA from 1 species
AACCUAGCACACCUGCGGUGUGUACCUGCGGAGGGAUCAUUAACAAGCUGUGGGAGAUCGAUCAAUUUGAUCUCACACCUGGCCAACCUUGUUAACCUUAAAUAUAUUGCUUUGGUGAGCCCUGCUCACCAAAGUCAAACCCUAAACUCUUGAUUGUUUCUGCUGUCUGAGCAUGCAAGUGCAAAAUUUAGUUAAAAACUUUCAACAACGGAUCU